GGGGACUUUUGUGGAGCUGAAAUUUAUGGUGUCGAUGAGAGCCGCCUUCCUUAAAUUACUCCAGUGGUGAUUUCAGAUUGAAUUGGAGUCACAUCCCGGGAAUAAUUCAUCCCCCGAUCUCAACCCGCAUUGGAGUCAACAGCGCACGGCACACAUUGAGCUAGCUGCUUUAUUGUUGGAAUUCCAUAAUCUACGAGGCACUCUCAGUCAUGAAGUAGCUCAUUAUUAAAAUAUAAUAUUACGUUC